rnacentral:rRNA from 1 species
UACGUAGGUGGCGAGCGUUGUCCGGAAUUAUUGGGCGUAAAGAGCGUGUAGGUGGGAUCAUAAGUCUUUUUUGUCAAAGUGCGGGGCUCAACCCCGUGAUGCGGAGGAAACUGUGAUUCUUGAGUGCCGGAGAGGAAAGCGGAAUUCCCAGUGUAGCGGUGAAAUGCGUAGAUAUUGGGAGGAACACCAGUGGCGAAGGCGCUUUCUGGACGGUGUCUGACACUGAGGCGCGAAAGCCAGGGGAGCGAACGGG